rnacentral:tRNA from 1 species
CCCGUAGCUCAGGUGGAUAGAGCAGCGGUUUCCUAAACCGCGUGUCGGAGGUUCGAGUCCUCCCGGGGUCACCA